rnacentral:sRNA from 1 species
AUGGCCAUCGGGAAUUUAGCAUUUGCUUCGUAUUAUUUGCUUGGUUCAAAAUGAAUCAAGAUGCUGUCCUUUUUUAUGUUGCAACAUUGGAACUAUAGAAAUUGUUUGUAUUUUGUCUCUUUCUUGCUCAGGACUUUUAAAUUCUUUUUGGCACGAAGGGAACAUGCUUUCUUUCCUUUGUGUCUUUUUAGGGCCCACUUAAUUCAUGGAUUCCACCUUUCUCUAGAAUUUUACAACAGCAGCAGCAGGCUCAAAUUCCAGGACUCUCCCAAUUCUCUUUAUCAGCUCUAGACCAGUUUGCUGGAUUGUUCCCAAAUCAGAUACCCUUCCCAGGACAGGCCAGUUUUGCCCAAGGAGCCCAGGCAGGCCAAGUUGACCCCUUACAGCUUCAAACACCGCCUCAGACACAACCAGGCCCCAAUCACGUGAUACCCUAUGUAUUCUCCUUCAAAAUGCCUCAAGAGCAAGGACAGAUGUUUCAAUACUAUCCAGUUUACAUGCUCCUACCCUGGGAACAACCUCAGCAAACAGUUCCAAGGUCACCUCAACA